AGACACUGCAGGAAGAAAAUGGGAAAAUAUUAGAUUAUAGGACAUGGCUGCGUUGUCUUUUCCAACCUUCCGCAAUACCUAUGUGCUGCCUUAGAAAGAAUUCAAAAAAGAUCUCUAGGAAUAAUUUUCGGUAGUGGCCUUAGCUACGAGGACGCCCUCGAACGCGCAUGCUUGUCUUCUCUAGAGGCGCGGCGUCACAAUGUGUGCAGAAAAUUCAUAAGCAAUAUCAAACAGGGGAGCGUCUUAUACCCCCUAGUGUCAAGCAGACUUAUAUCCUCCAACUCGCCAUACUCCCUAAGAUCUAAGCGCUCACAUAGUGUGGUUCCGGGUCGCACGGACCGUUUUUCCAAAUUCGUCUCAGCGCAAUAUGCUGGGGAUUUAAUGUUAUUAUGAAUUAUGUAUGGUGUAAUGUAUUUUGUAGUUAGCUGACCCUACCGGUAAUUCAGUUGUAAAAGAACUGCAAACGGUUGAAAUAAACGAGCAUUAUUAUUAUUAUUAUUAUUAUGGCAGCCUUCUCCAGAAAUACUAGUGAGCAAAGUUUUGUGUUGCGAAAUGCUCAAGGGAGGGGCAGGAGGGUAGGCUUUGGGAAUGGUGAUGGUCUAAAUAUCACACCGACUACAGAUUUAAAAAAAUAAUGGAUAAAUUAUAGACCUAUUAAAAUAAACUACUGAUAGUGGGUUGUACUUGAACAUUCUGAAAAAAAAAAAACAGAACAGAUCGGCUGGUUUGAGGACUCCUAUUCAUACCCAUUUUAGAUUGACCUUGCAGACAAUUGUGUCAACUUUGAGUAAAACUGCUCCAUUUUUAUGUGCCUCGUCGAUGUUUAACUGCAUGUAGGUAAACUUAUGUGAACAAUGCAAUUAUUUCGUCUAAAACCAAUAACCAUCAAAUAACCAUUGUCAUAUUAUUCCUACCAGCAACUGUAGGCACGAAUGAAACAUUUAAAGCAAAAAAAAUCCUUUUUUUGGCGGUUUUUUACUCCACAAAAUUUCACUAGACCCCCACCCCGCCUCCUUACACAUAUGAAUGCCUCCUCACACACAGCAGGCUUAACAUCUUGAAAACACUUCAAAGGUUAUGAACUCAUUACAAUAAACCUUUUGUGCUAAAUCAAAACAAAACUAUCAACCCAAGCUGGUAAGGGUUAUUGUAUUUCACACUGUUUUGCCACACAAGUUGAUAGCAUCUACAGCUGUGGAGUAAUUGUUACACCCAACAAGUGGUCUGCAUGCCAUAUGGCAAAAACUAUUUGGGCACAGCCUAAUUCGAUGUUACCAAACCAUUUGACAGCUAUGUAUGGACUUUCUGAGAUGAUUACAUAUCACAGAAACAUACGUGGUUUUGAAGACUACUUACUUAAGGCACAACAAUACCGCUUGGUAAGAAUAUUGACUUUUCGGUUGACUCGUCUUGAAAAAGGUCAAUAGUAAUUUAGAAAGCCAAAGCCACCCAAACGCGCCACCUCCAAAUUACACCUGGCACUAUCCUUGAGUAAUGGACCGUCAAAUCUCACAGGUGUGAAUGCAAAGACGCAUGCCGCUCUGAGCUCGGAUGCAAAUGCUGUAUGCUAAGGGGCUUGUAAACAUGGGUUUUUAGUUGUUUCAAGACUUACUUCCGGACGGUGCGUCUCGAACGUCCGUCAACGAUUCACCACGCCAUCUUCUCCACUUAUCAACAAGACCAUCGACCAUUUUCUAGAAGUCUUCUCCUCACUACAUCGACUAUCGACCUAUCUGUCAAUUCGUUCUGGAGUCUCCCUACGCAUGCGUCAUGGGCCUUGCCGCUGUCUCUUCCAGAAUCGCUUGACGUCGUCGUGUCCUGAGCGACUGACGACCACGACUCUUUUGGUCGAGUUCGCCCAGAUGAGUACGCCGAGGUCCUAAGGACAAUCAUUACAGUGUUAAUAUAAAGCCUUGUCCAGACAGCGCCAUCAUUAGUGCUGCUAUAAAGCCUCGUCCAGACAGCGCCAGCAUUAGUGUUAAUAUAAAGCCUUGUCCAGACAGCGCCAGCAUUAGUGUUGCUAUAAAGCCUCGUCCAGACAGCGCCAUCAUUAGUGUUAAUAUAAAGCCUCGUCCAGACAGCGCCAGCAUUAGUGUUGCUAUAAAGCCUCGUCCAGACAGCGCCAUCAUUAGUGUUAAUAUCAAGCCUUGUCCAGACAGCGCCAGCAUUACAGUGUUAAUAUCAAGCCUUGUCCAGACAGCGCCAGCAUUACAGUGUUAAUAUUAAACACGAACGAGAUCUUUGAAUAGAUAGAAUAAUAAUAAAAAAAUACCUCGGCAUAUUUGCGGAGCAUUUCAAAGUCCGCUUGUGAAAGAAACUGGUUGUAUAACACACCUGUAAGAAAAAGAGUUACCAUCAUAUCAGUUUAUAAAAGUAACAAAAUUAAACGUACAGCGCAGCCAUCCUCAGGCCCGGCAAGUGGUCGUUAAAUAGAGGUACAAUAUCAUCUUAUAAAAUACUUUAAAAGUGCAGUGGUCCCUCUAUCUAUUGAGCGGCCACCCUUAAACACGAACGCGUACUAUAAAAAGGAUAUCACUGAGUGAAGAGCUCCAUAGAGAGAUACCAAAAUGCCACAAUAGAGUUCUAGUGGCCGCUAACACACUAUAGAAGCAAACAUAGCCUUAUCAACAGCUGUUUCUUGAAACAGAACGAAAAAUAGCGAGGAAUAGAUAGGUUUUGAAGCGAUGAAUUCUGAAGCGAUGAAAAAAAUGAACAUCACUAGUGGUUUGGAUCAUAUAUCCAAAUCACUACUGAUGUUCAUCUGGGUUUUGCAUGUGACCCAUAUCCUCUCCACUCAUUGGCUAAUGCAUGCAUGAAUAAUUAAAGUGUUUGAGAACUGGUAUCUAUUUGUCUCGUGGGCUGUGUUUGCUGAUCUCACUCCCUUGUGUGUAUUUUGAGCGUUUUAUUGAGAGGGGGGAUUCUGCUUUUUUCCCUUGUUCGAUUUGAAGUUUGUCAAAGAACCUGAGCUAUUAUUUGGCUAAAGAGUAGUUGCUAUCACCUUGGUUGAUGCAUAUCUUCAAGACCAUUUAUCCCUUAGACUGAUGCCUGCGUAUUUUCAUCUUGUUGUGUUUAUUUUGCAUUUAUUGGGUUGGGGGUAUUUCUCAAGGCCGGUAGAGGCCAUUUGUAAGGUUCAAUGUGUUAAAUAGAGGUAUUCUGAUACAAGAUCUUUGAUGUUUAUAUUUAAGGAAUCUGUAUUGCUUGGGAGAAAACAAUGCACAACAAUGGCGGCCUGAUUAUUAGCCUUUUUGAAUUACCUUCGGUGAACUUCAUUCUGCUGCGUUCCAUUUCCCACAGGCGGACUUGAUCACUGAUGGUCGAUGGUAUAAUUGGGGUCUAAUACACACACAACCAAGACGUUUAAUAACAAUGAUGGAUUAAAGUAGGGCGUGGGACACAAAAUACUAAGGACAACAAUACUGAAAGUACGUACUCUUUUUAACAUCUCGGGGUGAGCUCGCGUUUGCAGAAAAUUCAGAAUCUGAGGGAAAAAUAUAUAUAAACCUGAGUGAUUCAACCGGAUUUAUUUCCCCUAGUGAAAUGUACAGCACAUGUCCUUUGCAUAUAAUUUUAUUGCGGCAUUAAAACAUUCGGCACACAUGUCCAGAGUGGGCAACCCUACAAAUACCAAUAUUUGAUAAAUGCAUGCAUAAUAUUGUCGAAAACAAUGGAGUCCACUUGAUAAUGUCGAAAUAGUCUUUGUCUCACCUGUUCUGCAGAAAUUCCACUUGCUAGAGCCUGUGAAGCCAAGACAGGAAAUUUGGGUGGGUUUAAAUCAAAAUAAUUUAAAUUAUGGGUGUGGUCUAGAAGAUUUAAGGGAAAGAGAGGAAUACAGAGAAUAAAUUGGAGGAAAGGGAACGUGGGAAGGAGGAAAAUGGGGGGGGGGGGGGGCAAACAAAGGGACAGAGCAAGCUCAUCUGACAUAUAGACACAUACACAAAUACUUUUUAUUCUACCUGCUGACAGCUUUCUCGUGUUAAACUUGCCACACAUAAGUUUGGGAAUCUAUAAAAGCAAGCAUUCGAAGUGAAAUAACGACAUACAGGUUAUACCUCAAUAAGAAAUCACCUAUUUUUUUUAUUAUGGAGUUAAAUGUUAACCACCGAAAGUACCAACAACGUUUUCACCUAUGUACCUGGUUCCUUACCUACAGAGUAUCUCACAGAACAAUCCGAUGAGGGACACUUGAAGGCAAGACUCUGCAAAUGUAAAAAGAGUACUUUAAACAAAAACAAAAACACAAAUAUUUAAGUAAAAAAUGGUAAGGCAGGUUAAAUCAAGUAUAGAACAUACUUGAAUACUCAGGUUAUACUCAAGUAUAGAACAUUUAGCCAUACCUGUGUAUGCAUAUACUCUGUAGUUUGUCUCAAUAAUAAUAAACCCAGCUUCUAUUUGUGAA